UACGGGGUGCAGCAGUCGCGAAAACUUCACAAUGGGGGAAACCCCGAUGAGGGAAUUCCAAGUGCCAGCACAUUGUGUUGGCUGUUCUCUGGUCUAAAAAACCGGAGAAGUAAGGGCCGGGUAAGACGGGUGCCAGCCGCCGCGGUAAUACCCGCGGCCCGAGUGGUGGUCGAUAUUAUUGAGCCUAAAACGUCCGUAGCCGGUUUUGUAAAUCCUUGGGUAAAUCGACCAGCUUAACUGUUCGAAGUCCAGGGAGACUGCAAGACUUGGGAUCGGGAGAGGUGAGAGGUACUUCUGGGGUAGGGGUAAAAUCCUGUAAUCCUAGAAGGACCACCGGUGGCGAAGGCGUCUCACUAGAACGAAUCCGACGGUGAGGGACGAAGCCCUGGGGCGCAAACGGGAUUAGAUACCCCGGUAGUCCAGGGUGUAAACGCUGCGGGCUUGGUGUUGGGGGUCCUUUGAGGGCGCCCAGUGCCGGAGAGAAGUUGUUAAGCCUGCUGCUUGGGGAGUACGUCCGCAAGGAUGAAACUUAAAGGAAUUGGCGGGGGAGCACCGCAACGGGAGGAGCGUGCGGUUCAAUUGGAUUCAACGCCGGACAACUCACCAGGAGCGACGGUUACAUGAAGGCCAGGCUGAUGACCUUGCCUGAUUUUCCGAGAGGUAGUGCAU
rnacentral:rRNA from 1 species